rnacentral:rRNA from 1 species
GACGAACGCUGGCGGCGUGCUUAACACAUGCAAGUCGAACGGACAGGCCCUGCUUUUGUUGGGUGCUCGAGUGCCGAACGGGUGAGUAACACGUGAGUAACCUGCCCUUGACUUUGGGAUAACUUCAGGAAACUGGGGCUCAUACCGGAUAGGAGCUCCUGCUGCAUGGUGGGGGUUGGAAAGUUUCGGCGGUUGGGGAUGGACUCGCGGCUUAUCAGCUUGUUGGUGGGGUAGUGGCUUACCAAGGCUUCGACGGGUAGCCGGCCUGAGAGGGUGACCGGCCACAUGGGGACUGAGAUACGGCCCAGACUCCUACGGGAGGCAGCAGUGGGGAAUAUUGCACAAUGGGCGGAAGCCUGAUGCAGCAACGCCGCGUGCGGGAUGACGGCCUUCGGGUUGUAAACCGCUUUCGCCUGUGACGAAGCGGGAGUGACGGUAAUGGGUAAAGAAGCACCGGCUAACUACGUG